UACGUAGGGUGCGAGCGUUGUCCGGAAUUAUUGGGCGUAAAGCGCGUGUAGGCGGCCACGCAGGUCCGCUGUGAAAACUCGAGGCUCAACCUCGAGCUGUCGGUGGAAACCGCGUGGCUAGAGUCCGGAAGAGGGGACUGGAAUUCCCGGUGUAGCGGUGGAAUGCGCAGAUAUCGGGAGGAACACCCGUGGCGAAGGCGGGUCCCUGGGACGGUACUGACGCUGAGACGCGAAAGCGUGGGGAGCGAACAGG
rnacentral:rRNA from 1 species